ensembl:snRNA U6 U6 spliceosomal RNA
GUACUCACUUUGGCAGCACACAUACCAAAAUUGGAAUGGUACAGAGAAGAUUAGCAUGGAGUCUGUGCAAGGAUGACUUGCACAUUCAUGAAAUGUUCAAUAUUUUC